rfam:Ovis aries breed Texel chromosome 11, whole genome shotgun sequence.
UCCCUGGUAGUCCAGGGGUGAAGACCCUGCACUUCCAAUGCAGGGGGCCCAGGUUUGAUCCCUGGUCAGGGGA